rnacentral:lncRNA from 1 species
UGGACCAAGUACACCCCCAAAACAUUCCAGAUUCCACUAUGGCCAACAGCAGACCCCUCUGCUGUACCAUUUGCCACGAACAUUUGGAGGACACGCAUUUCGUUCAGUGUCCAUCUGUCCCUAGCCACAAAUUUUGUUUCCCUUGUUCUAGAGAGAGUAUCAAGGCCCAGGGGGCCACAGGUGAGGUGUAUUGCCCCAGCGGAGAGAAAUGCCCCCUAGUCGGGUCUAAUGUACCUUGGGCCUUCAUGCAGGGCGAAAUUGCAACUAUCUUAGCUGGGGAUGUUAAAGUGAAAAAAGAGAGAGACCCUUGA